UGGGGAAUAUUGGACAAUGGGCGCAAGCCUGAUCCAGCAAUGCCGCGUGAGUGAUGAAGGCCUUAGGGUUGUAAAGCUCUUUCGCACGCGACGAUGAUGACGGUAGCGUGAGAAGAAGCCCCGGCUAACUUCGUGCCAGCAGCCGCGGUAAUACGAAGGGGGCUAGCGUUGUUCGGAAUUACUGGGCGUAAAGGGCGCGUAGGCGGCCUGUUUAGUCAGGAGUGAAAGCCCCGGGCUCAACCUGGGAAUAGCUUUUGAUACUGGCAGGCUUGAGUUCCGGAGAGGAUGGUGGAAUUCCCAGUGUAGAGGUGAAAUUCGUAGAUAUUGGGAAGAACACCGGUGGAGAAGGCGGCCAUCUGGACGGACACUGACGCUGAGGCGCGAAAGCGUGGGGAGCAAACAG
rnacentral:rRNA from 1 species